CACGCGCAUCUUCUCUUACCUUCGACUUCAGAGAAUCCAUCCACCGAUCGACUUAAUUCGAAGAAGCAUCCGGAGUUUAUCUUGAUCUUUCCCCCAAAAAAACAAGUUUCUCAGGUGAUGCGUAAAAUCUGCAUGUCUUGAAGCUUUAGCGAAUCUAUCAACCGAGAACCGAGAACUUAACGAUUCCCUCCUCCUUCCCCAAAUAUGGAACUAUAAAAUGAUCGGCAUGGAUGAUGGCAGAGAAAGAGGACCGGCAGCUGAUGUCGUCGCCACGAGCCAAGGGGUGGCAGUUUUGUCGCGAUCUCCUAAUGAAAACCCUGGAGAUGGCAAUCCGCCGGCGGCUGCUCUCGCCGACAUCCUGAAGGCGCUCGAAGUCGUAGAGAGGGAUUCCGUCGCCAUUACCGAGAGCUUUACCUCCCUGUUCUCCUCCCUCCGUCUCGUUCUGGCAGAGGCCUCUAGUACCUCACUUGAGAACAUGCAGUGCUUUAAUGAUGUCGUUGGUCGUCUACAAGAAUCUGCUCUUGAUGCCGCAACGAAGGGCAAUCAUUACAUAAAUUCAUACCUGAGAUUGCAUGAGGAAAUGAGGAACUUGGAAACUCUUGCAUUGCAGUUACAAGUAUUGAGGAAGAAUGUGGACUCACUGGAUCAGGUUGUCGAUCGACUUUUGCUUCCGUGAUUGAACAUUAUUUGUGAGCAUUUGAAGAUUGAUAUUACAGAGUGCUCCAAGUACCAAACUCAAAUGAUUUUACAUUGAGCUCUUCCAAACUUAUCAACAUGCUUUCUCUACUUAAUGCAGCAACCUGAAAUCACAAUUCAACUAAAUAAAGAACGAAUGGUCAAUUUGUUUAGCUCUGUAUAAUAAUCUACAAGGACGAACUGCGAGAUCCUAGAAGGCUCAAAGAUAAAGAUAAAGUUGUCAACUGUUUUUACAUUCAAGUUAUUUAACAUUUUGCUUGUGCGGUAGCCUAUAAUUCUUUAGUUGGAUUGUUCUCUUGUGGGACGAUAUUUUGUGGUUGGUGAUGUUGAGCUUAGUUUGGUUGUGCGGACGGGAUGGUAAGGCCUACCUUUCUUCUUGUUGCUUGUCGUGUGGUGGCUAAUUUGUAGUACUUCGUGGUUUGGUUAGUUGACAAUUUCAUUUGCCCUACUAA